GACAGAGGGUGCAAACGUUGUUCGGAAUUACUGGGCGUAAAGCGUGUGUAGGCGGCCAUUCAAGUCGGAUGUGAAAGCCCCGGGCUCAACCCGGGAAGUGCACCCGAAACUGGAUGGCUUGAGUAUCGGAGAGGUUGGUGGAAUUCUCGGUGUAGAGGUGAAAUUCGUAGAUAUCGAGAGGAACACCGGUGGCGAAGGCGGCCAACUGGGACGAAUACUGACGCUGAGACACGAAAGCGUGGGGAGCAAACAGG
rnacentral:rRNA from 1 species